UACACUCCUACGGGAGGCAGCAGUGGGGAAUUUUGGACAAUGGGCGAAAGCCUGAUCCAGCAAUGCCGCGUGAGUGAAGAAGGCCUUCGGGUUGUAAAGCUCUUUUGUCAGGGAAGAAACGGUGAAAGCUAAUAUCUUUUGCUAAUGACGGUACCUGAAGAAUAAGCACCGGCUAACUACGUGCCAGCAGCCGCGGUAAUACGUAGGGUGCAAGCGUUAAUCGGAAUUACUGGGCGUAAAGCGUGCGCAGGCGGUUUUGUAAGUCUGAUGUGAAAUCCCCGGGCUCAACCUGGGAAUUGCAUUGGAGACUGCAAGGCUAGAAUCUGGCAGAGGGGGGUAGAAUUCCACGUGUAGCAGUGAAAUGCGUAGAUAUGUGGAGGAACACCGAUGGCGAAGGCAGCCCCCUGGGUCAAGAUUGACGCUCAUGCACGAAAGCGUGGGGAGCAAACAGGAUUAGAUACCCCGGUAGUCCCAUG
rnacentral:rRNA from 1 species